rnacentral:lncRNA from 1 species
CUCCUGAAUUGAUCAUGACCCAUUGUUUCCUCAGCAGGCGGAAGGCUCCACCUCCCAUUGUCCACCACUCAUCCCAGCUCCUCAGAGGCUCCUGCAAGACGGGAGUGGGAGGAACCUUGAGGUCAGAGCCUUGGACGGCUGCCCUGUGUGCUGGUGGCUUCUAUUGUGAGCACCCGAGGAUCUUGGAGCUUCCUCAUGGCUGGGCCUCAGAACCCACUGGGGACCAGCCUGUUUAUGGGAGCGGGGGGCCUCUGACAGCUGUGCAGAGCUCAGGUGGAGGCCUUGCGUGUGCUGACCGCUCCUCAGCUGUGUGGACGAGGCAGGCAAGCGUGAUCACAUUCGGGGUCCUCUGGCACUUCUCUGGAGGGUGCACCAUCAUUUCCCCUGUUCUCGGAAGAAGCAGUCGAGGUUCCAUGAGGGAAGGCAGAGAAUUGGAUCCCAUCUCCGCCCACUUGGCACCACCCUGAAGGGUCUGGAAGGAGAGAAAACUCUUGGAACUGCUCCCAAGUGAGUUUUGGGCUUCAUGCAUCAAACUCAGUAAAGACUAGAGGGAGGAUAAACAGAAUUUGAAAGCAGGGAAAACGGCCAGAGGUAGCCACAGCUGAUGUCAUGGGGGAGAAAGCAAAACCCCAAGAUGACAGAAUUGAGGUGCAAAGGAGUCUUCGGGCUCAAGGAGCUAAGAAUAGC